AUUGAACGCUGGCGGCAUGCCUUACACGUGCAAGUCGAACGGUAACAGGUCUUCGGAUGCUGACGAGUGGCGAACGGGUGAGUAAUACAUCGGAACGUGCCUAGUAGUGGGGGAUAACUACUCGAAAGAGUGGCUAAUACCGCAUGAGAUCUACGGAUGAAAGCAGGGGAUCGCAAGACCUUGUGCUACUAGAGCGGCCGAUGGCAGAUUAGGUAGUUGGUGGGAUAAAAGCUUACCAAGCCGACGAUAUGUAGCUGGUCUGAGAGGACGAACAGCCACACUGGGACUGAGACACGGCCCAGACUCCUACGGGAGGCAGCGUUGGGGAAGUUUGGACAAUGGGCGCAAGCCUGAUCCAGCAAUGCCGCGUGCAGGAUGAAGGCCUUCGGGUUGUAAACUGCUUUUGUACGGAACGAAAAGCCCUAGGUUAAUACCCUGGGGUCAUGACGGUACCGUAAGAAUAAGCACCGGCUAACUACGUGCCAGCCGCCGCGGUAAUAC
rnacentral:rRNA from 1 species